rnacentral:rRNA from 1 species
GGUCAAGUUAUUAAGGGUGCAGGGCGGAUGCCUUGGCACUAGGAGCCGAUGAAGGACGUGAUAAGCUGCGAUAAGCUUCGGGGAGUUGCACGUAAACUUUGAUCCGAAGAUUUCCGAAUGAGGAAACUCACUUAGAGUAAUGUCUAAGUAUCAUUAAGUGAAUACAUAGCUUAAUGAGGGGAACUCAGGGAACUGAAACAUCUAAGUACCUGAAGGAAGAGAAAGAAAUUCGAUUCCGUAAGUAGCGGCGAGCGAACGCGGAUUAGCCCAAACCAAUAAAGUUUUCUUUAUUGG